rnacentral:rRNA from 1 species
CCUACGGGUGGCAGCAGUGAGGAAUAUUGGUCAAUGGGCGCGAGCCUGAACCAGCCAAGUCGCGUGAGGGAAGACGGUCCUAUGGAUUGUAAACCUCUUUUGUCGGGGCGCAAAAGACGCCACGCGUGGCGUUCCGAGAGUACCCGAAGAAAAAGCAUCGGCUAACUCCGUGCCAGCAGCCGCGGUAAUACGGAGGAUGGGAGCGUGAUCCGGAUUUACUGGGGGUAAAGGGCGUGUAGCCGGGCUGACAAGUCAGAUGUGAAAUCCGGGGGCUCAACCCCCGAACUGCAUUUGAAACUGUUGGUGUGGAGGAGCGGAGAGGCAGGCGGAAUUCCUAGUGUAGCGGUGAAAUGCGUAGAUAUUAGGAGGAACACCAGUGGCGAAGGCGGCCUGCUGGACGACAACUGACGGUGAGGAGCGAAAGCGUGGGGAGCAAACAGGAUUAGAUACCCCAGUAGUC